UACGAAGGUGGCAAGCGUUAUUCGGAUUUACUGGGCGUACAGGGAGCGUAGGCGGUUCGGUAAGCCCUUUGUGAAAUCUCCAGGCUUAACCUGGAACAGUCGGAGGGGACUGCCGGGCUAGAGGACGGGAGAGGAUGAGGGAAUUCCUGGUGUAGCGGUGAAAUGCGUAGAUAUCAGGAGGAACACCGGUGGCGAAGGCGCUCAUCUGGCCCAAUACUGACGCUGAGGCGCGAAAGCUAGGGGAGCAAACGGG
rnacentral:rRNA from 1 species